AAUAUUAGACAAUGGGCGAAAGCCUGAUCCAGCCAUGCCGCGUGUGUGAAGAAGGUCUUCGGAUUGUAAAGCACUUUAAGGUGGGAGGAAGGGUUGUGGAUUAAUACUCUGCAGUAUUGAAGUCACCGACAGAAUAGGCACGGUCUAACUUCGUGCCAGCAGCCGAGGUAAUACGAAGGGUGCAAGCGUUAAUCGGAAUUACUGGGCGUAAAGCGCGCGUAGGUGGUUCGUUAAGUUGGAUGUGAAAGCCCCGGGCUCAACCUGGGAACUGCAUCCAAAACUGGCAAGCUAGAGGACGGUAGAGGGUGGUGGAAUUUCCUGUGGAGCGGUGAAAUGCGUAGAUAUAGGAAGGAACACCAGUGGCGAAGGCGACCACCUGGACUGAUACUGACACUGAGGUGCGAAAGCGUGGGGAGCAAACAGG
rnacentral:rRNA from 1 species